rnacentral:misc_RNA from 1 species
UCCGGUUUGACACCGGCAGUCCCCUUAGAGUCCCCGGCAUAACCCGAUGGUAACUAAGGGCAAAGGUUUCGCUCGUUAAGGGACUUAACCCGACAUCUCACGACACGAGCUGACGACAGCCAUGCAGCACCUGUGCACGUUCCACCCCGAAGGGCGUACCCGACUUUCACCGGGAUAAUCCGUGCAUGUCAAGCCCAGGUAAGGUUCUGCGCGUUGCUUCGAAUUGAACCACAUGCUCCACCGCUUGUGUGAGCCCCCGUCAAUUCCUUUGAGUUUUAGCCUUGCGACCGUACUUCCCAGGCGGUCCACUUAGCACUUUGGCUUCGACCAUGAAACCGUCAGAGGUCCCACGAUCUAGUGGACAUCGUUUACGGCCAGGACUAC